GACGAACGCUGGCGGCGUGCCUAAUACAUGCAAGUCGAGCGGACUAAUGGGAGCUUACCCCCGUUAGUUAGCGGCGGACGGGUGAGUAACGCGUGGGCAACCUACCUGUAAGACUGGGAUAACUUCGGGAAACCGGAGCUAAUACCGGAUGACAUAAAGGAACUCCUGUUCCUUUAUUGAAAGAUGGCUUCGGCUAUCACUUACAGAUGGGCCCGCGGCGCAUUAGCUAGUUGGUGAGGUAACGGCUCACCAAGGCGACGAUGCGUAGCCGACCUGAGAGGGUGAUCGGCCACACUGGGACUGAGACACGGCCCAGACUCCUACGGGAGGCAGCAGUAGGGAAUCUUCCGCAAUGGACGAAAGUCUGACGGAGCAACGCCGCGUGAGCGAUGAAGGCCUUCGGGUCGUAAAGCUCUGUUGUUAGGGAAGAAUAAGUGCUAGUUGAAUAAGCUGGCACCUUGACGGUACCUAACCAGAAAGCCACGGCUAACUACGUGCCAGCCGCCGCGGUAACAC
rnacentral:rRNA from 1 species